GCGACCGUAGUCUAGUGGUAGGAUACGACCUUGCCAAGGUCGCGACUCGGGUUCGAGCCCCGGCGGUCGCA
rnacentral:tRNA from 1 species